GUCCAAGCUGUGAGUCGAUUCAGAGCAAGUGUUGGAUGUGGGCACAGCCCCCCGCAUUGCACUCGCACUGAUUUCCGAGGUGUAAAUUGGAGUAUGAGAUACAGGAUACUCUCUGCAGAUAAUGAUGCUCUGAGCUCUCCAAACGGGUUCCUUCUCGCCUUUGACGCAGUUUCUGCCCGAGAGUUCGGCUCUGGACCUAGUCAGUGAUCCAUUCGCAAGUUGCACUGGCGUUCAGAACAAAUUUUUUGCUUGUUUUCACCGAAUUUAUUUGCAAAUUACUGAAAUAAUCUACAAAACUGCACAAUCAGAGAAGUAAGGAUUCUGGAAAGCAAGCUGGAAAGUGAUUUGGAACAGAAUGUCACAGAAUGAUCAUGUUGAAUGAUGGAGCAAGCUGGAGGAGCCAUAUUAUUUACUCAUGUUCCUAUUUUUCAUGUUCUGAAGCCCUUUUCAGUUGUAAAUUAUUCAGUCCUGCCUUGUUCUGACCUACGUGUGACUCAAAUCCCACACAAACGUGGUCAACAGUACUCUAAAGAAGAAGAAAGCAGCUCUCUACUACCUUCUCAAGGGCAGUUAGAAUGGGCAAUAAAUGCUGGCCCAGCCAAUGAUGCCCAUGUCCCAUGAGUGAAUAAAACAAAAGGUCGCCAAGCAAACCACUCAGUUGCAACAAAUGCUACAAAGAAUCAACAUUCUGGAGGCAAUUUUCACCAUGCAGGGUGCAACAGUCGAGAAAAACAAGGCCUGCCACUCUCAUCUCAGGGCAACUAGAGAUACACUACAGUUGCUCCCUGACUUACAAAUAUCUGAAUUAUGUUCAUACUUACUAAUGAGAUCCCACAUUACUAUUAAGUUUAAGGAUCUGGCAUGCGAACAUUCAGUCGUACUUACAAAUGGAUGUUUUACAUUGUACUGUAUUGUGUUCCGACUUGUGAAAAGUAGACUUAUGAAUAUACACAGGAAAGGAAUCAUGCAGGGACUGCCUAUACUGUUGCCUUUCUUGCCCCUGGACUUGGAGGAUCUUACAAAGACACCACUGGUGGCACUUAAGGUUGGACAGGCCUGGGUUCUAACGGUUGGAUUUUAGAAGAGUAAAGGUGACUUGAUUGAAACAUGUAAGACUGUGAGUGUUUUGAACCGUGCAGCUGUGGAAAGAAUGCUUCCUCUUGUGGGAGAUUCUAUAACUGCAGGGUCACCAUUUUAAAAAUAAAGAGGCUAUCACUCAAUUCAGAGAGGAUGAGAAUUUAUUCUCACAUUAAGUGAUGAUUCGUUGGAAUUCUCUUCCUCAAAAGGCAGAGUUUUUGAGUAUUUUGAAGGCAGAAGUGGAUAGAUUUUUGAAAAGCAUGAGAGGUGAGAGAUUAUCCUAGGGUAUGUGGAAGUGUAGAGUAACUAUCAACCAUGACCUUAUUAAAGAAUGGAGCAGGCACAAAGGACCAGAUGGCCUACUCCUGCUCCUAACCUCUAUGUUUGCAUGUUCUCCAGUGCUUUGAGUUGUCUGCCGUAUGUCACUCAUGUUGCUGAGGCAUUGAGCAGUGCAGGGCCACUGCUGCUCAGUAAAUUGUGACCUUAGUCUUGGGUUUGAGAUCCAAGUAGUUAAAUACAUUUUUUGUCAGUUGGCCAAAUGAUGAACUGGACCAUUGGAGGAUGGAUAGUGUCAUCUAUGUUUGCCUUUGUUGCUAGGUGGCUUCCAAAAUAUAGAACAUGAUCCACAUUUUCCAGGAUCAUGCCAUUGAUCUUAAUCAAUGGAGAAGAUUUUAUGUUGUGGGAGCUGAUUGGAAAAGUUUUUUGAGAAUUUACUGAAAAGCCUAACAUCCCAAAUGCUUCGGAGAUGGGGCUGACACUAAAUGCCCCAUCUCUGGACUCCCUGAAACCUGCCCAUCACCGACAAUGCAUGCAUUAAGAAUGAGAUGGGAAACUCUUCUUUUGCCUCAAUGGGUAUAGCUGCAACAACACUCCCGAAGCUCAACACUAUCCUGGGUAAACCACUCUCCUUGUUGUGUAGAGGCUUAAGCCUUUGCUCUCUCGUCAUUACUGCAACUUGGCUGCAGUGUAUUAUUGACAGGUCGCCCGGCCAGCAACUAGCAAGGCAUCUUUGCUGGUAACUCUCAAAUCUGUGACUUCCACCACUUCAAGCAAGAAGGCCAGCUGGAGUAUGGGAAAACUAUGACCUUCAAAAUCCCCUCAAAGUCACACACCAUCAAAACUGGAAAAUAUCCCACCAUUACACUUUCAUCAUUGGAUCAAAUCCUGGAAUUCCCUCUCUAACAGCAGUUUAAAAGUACUUUUACCACAUAGACUGCAGUGGUUUAUGAAGGUGGAUUACCAGCAACUUCUCAUGGGCAACUAGGGAUAGUCAGCAAAUGCUGAACUUGCUAGUGCUGUUUACAGCUGAAAAAUGUAUUUUUAAAAAUUGAGAACCUAUUUUUAAUAAACAUUGUUGGUGAAAAGUUAUACGAGCUAUCAAAUGUAACUAAAAUGAAUUAAAAGUUAAAAUGUUUUGAA